rnacentral:rRNA from 1 species
GUCUUUUUGAUAAUAAUAUAAAGUCUGGCCUGCCCACUGAAUUUUAAAUGGCCGCAGUAUUUUGACUGUGCAAAGGUAGCAUAAUCAUUAGUUUUUUAAUUGAAAGCUGGAAUGAAGGGUUUGAUGAAAAAAUUACUGUCUCAGUUUAAAUUUUUUAAAAUUUUAUUUUUAAGUUAAAAAGCUUAAAUUUUAUUAAAAGACGAGAAGACCCCGUAGAGUUUAAUAUUAUUAAUAUUAUUAUUUAUUUGGUUUAUAAAAAGUUAUAAUAUUAAUAUUAUUUUGUUGGGGUGAUAGAAAAAUUAAUUUAACUUUUUUUAUUUAAAAUCAUUAAUUUAUGAAUAAAUGAUCUUUAAUUUUGAUUAAAAGAAUAAAUUACCUUGGGGAUAACAGCGUUAUUUUUUUAAAGAGUUCUUAUCGAAAAAAAAGAUUGCGACCUCGAUGUUGGAUUAAAAUAAAUUUUUGGUGUAGAAGCUAAAAAAUUUGGUCUGUUCGACCAUUAAAAUUUUACA